CGAACGCUGGCGGCGUGCUUAACACAUGCAAGUCGAACGCGAAAGGGACUUCGGUCCUGAGUAAAGUGGCGCACGGGUGAGUAACGCGUAGAUAACCUGUCUUCAUGUCUGGAAUAAUACGCCGAAAGGGGUACUAAUACCGGAUAUUCUUGCUUUUCAUAAGUUAUGCAAGCAAAGGUGGCCUCUGCAUAUGCUACUGCAUGAAGAGGGGUCUGCGUACCAUUAGCUAGUAGGUGGGGUAAUGGCCUACCUAGGCGACGAUGGUUAGCGGGUCUGAGAGGAUGAUCCGCCACACUGGCACUGGAACACGGGCCAGACUCCUACGGGAGGCAGCAGUGAGGAAUAUUGCGCAAUGGGGGAAACCCUGACGUAGCGACGCCGCGUGAGUGAAGGAAGGCCUUCGGGUCGUAAAGCUCUGUCAAGAGGAAAGAAGUGUACAAUGGCUAAUACCUGUUGUAUUUGACGGUACCUCUAAAGGAAGCACCGGCUAACUCCGUGCCAGCCGCUGC
rnacentral:rRNA from 1 species